rnacentral:rRNA from 1 species
CAGAGGGGGCAAGCGUUGUCGGAAUUACUGGGCGUAAAGGGCGCGUAGGCGGCCUUCUAAGUCGAACGUGAAAUCCCCGGGCUCAACCCGGGAACUGCGUCCGAUACUGGAAGGCUUGAAUCCGGGAGAGGGAUGCGGAAUUCCAGGUGUAGCGGUGAAAUGCGUAGAUAUCUGGAGGAACACCGGUGGCGAAGGCGGCAUCCUGGACCGGUAUUGACGCUGAGGCGCGAAAGCCAGGGGAGCAAACGGGAUUAGAUACCCCGGUAGUCCUGGCCCUAAACGAUGAAUGCUUGGUGUGGCGGGUAUCGAUCCCUGCCGUGCCGAAGCUAACGCAUUAAGCAUUCCGCCUGGGGAGUACGGUCGCAAGGCUG